rnacentral:rRNA from 1 species
GACGAACGCUGGCGGCGUGCUUAACACAUGCAAGUCGAACGGAAAGGCCCUGCUUUUGUGGGGUGCUCGAGUGGCGAACGGGUGAGUAACACGUGAGUAACCUGCCCUUGACUUUGGGAUAACUUCAGGAAACUGGGGCUAAUACCGGAUAGGAGCUCCUGCUGCAUGGUGGGGGUUGGAAAGUUUCGGCUGUUGUGGAUGGACUCGCGGCUUAUCAGCUUGUUUGUGGGGUAGUGGCUUACCAAGGCUUUGACGGGUAGCCGGCCUGGGAGGGUGACCGGCCACAUUGGGACUGAGAUACGGCCCAGACUCCUACGGGAGGCAGCAGUGGGGAAUAUUGCACAAUGGGCGGACGCCUGAUGUAGCAACGCCGCGUGCGGGAUGCCGGCCUUCGGGUUGUAAACCGAUUUCGCCUGUGACGAAGCGUGAGUGACGGUAAUGGGUAAAGAAGCACCGGCUAACUACGUG